AAAGCGUGCGCAGGCGGUUUUGUAAGACUGUCGUGAAAUCCCCGGGCUCAACCUGGGAAUGGCGAUGGUGACUGCAAGGCUAGAGUUUGGCAGAGGGGGGUAGAAUUCCACGUGUAGCAGUGAAAUGCGUAGAUAUGUGGAGGAACACCGAUGGCGAAGGCAGCCCCCUGGGUCAAAACUGACGCUCAUGCACGAAAGCGUGGGGAGCAAACAAGAUUAGAUACCCUUGU
rnacentral:rRNA from 1 species